UUGGGGGCCCUCAGUCCUAACCGGAGGGAUCAUUCACGCAGCUGAGCCGCUGUUUACUGAGCUCCCCCUGGGUCUUUCGGCAGGGAGUCAGACAUUCUGGGGGAGAAGGAAAGGAUUUCAACAAAUAGUUACCAGGAGCAUAAUCUGCCCCAGGCCCGAACCACACACAGUCUUCCCUCAAAGAACUUUCAGCCCAGAAGAGAAAUGUCAACUCAGAGAGAAGUGCAUUCAUGGGUGUAAUUUGAAAUAAGAGUAAAGAUAAAGGUGAUGAAGUGGCUGCCUCCCCCAUCCCCCCUCCUCCUGAGGAUCCGGGAAGUCUUCUCAGAGGAGGCAACACAUAAGCCAGAUCUUGAGGGUGAAUACACCGUGGUCUAGUAGGAGAGAGGGGAUAAGCACACAAAUGACAGGGAUCACAAAGGAAACAGCAACAUCUUAUACUUGAACCCAUUUUUACUGACCCAGCACUUUCUUCUCUUUUGAGCCCUGUGGCCACCCGCAGCUCAGAGAGGUAAUGUGACUUGUCUACUCCUAAGGUCACAUAGCCAGUUUAAGUCAGAAUUCAAACUCAGAUCUCCUCCCAGACUCCUCCCAGUCGGCUUAGAGAGUAGGAAAGUCAUCCUUGCAAUUGUUAUUUUCCCUUGAAGCACAAAUAAUUCCUCGGAAGUCAGAGAAAUGGGAAGCCCUUGGGCCAGGACCAAUCAAGAAAGGCGUUAAGGGAGUUGGCAUCGGGGCUGGUCAUGGCCAGAUGACAUGCAUUCAAAAAAGUGUGCCAGGGGCUAGAAUUCGUGUUGAGUGCUGGAUUUCUGUGGGGACCGAGGCAGUCCCUGCCUGUAAGUGGCUGGUCAGGUAGGAGGACGGCUCCCGCCAGCUGGCCUGGGCUAAGGAUGGGGGGGUUCGGUACCUCAGCUGUCCUGCCUGGCAGCCAAGCCCUGCCUUGCCCUGGCACUUAGGCCCAUAUCUAAGGCAUUCCGUGGGAGCUUCUCAGGAAAGGGACUCAUUUCCACCCCUGCCAGCAAUGUUGCCACAACAGGGAGCUGAGCGUGGUACAAAAACGACAUGCGAAUCGAUCCCCGCCUCUUCCCCGCGGGAAAGUACCGAAUCACCAACAACUAUGGGCUGCUGACGCUGGAGAUCAGGAGAUGCACCAUUGAGGACGCAGC